GGGGUCGAUCGGAUUUGACAGCGGAACGAGGUGAUCUGUAAGCACGCAGUGCGGAUGAAAGCGGGCACUUUAAUCUUGGCUUUCAAACAAUUUAUCUGGCGAAAAUAAUUACGCUCUCGCUGCUUAAUCGAAGUAUAGUAGAUUGGCUUUAUUCCUUCUCAAGGAGUUGGAACGAGACAUCACCCAAGAGCACUUGCUCCUUUGCGUCUUGAAAUGGUGGUGCUGUAAAUAGGAGAUAGAUGCGGAAUGCCUCGAUUUUGCAUUGAAAUAUUAGAGGAUAAGGCAACGGAGAGGUAGCUUCCACCCAACCUUUGCACGAAAAUCAAUAGGAAGAUAAGCGUGUAGAAAGCAUAUCAGUUCUCCGUUUGGACGAGGGUUCAAUUCCCUCCGGCUCCACCA
rnacentral:tmRNA from 1 species